AGUGAACGCUGGCGGUAGGCCUAACACAUGCAAGUCGAACGGCAGCACAGUAAGAGCUUGCUCUUACGGGUGGCGAGUGGCGGACGGGUGAGGAAUACAUCGGAAUCUACUUUUUCGUGGGGGAUAACGUAGGGAAACUUACGCUAAUACCGCAUACGACCUACGGGUGAAAGCAGGGGAUCUUCGGACCUUGCGCGAUUGAAUGAGCCGAUGUCGGAUUAGCUAGUUGGCGGGGUAAAGGCCCACCAAGGCGACGAUCCGUAGCUGGUCUGAGAGGAUGAUCAGCCACACUGGAACUGAGACACGGUCCAGACUCCUACGGGAGGCAGCAGUGGGGAAUAUUGGACAAUGGGCGCAAGCCUGAUCCAGCCAUACCGCGUGGGUGAAGAAAGCCUUCGGGUUGGAAAGCCCUUUUGGUGGGAAAGAAAAGCAGCAGGUUAAUACCCCGCUGUUCUGACGGUACCCAAAGAAUAAGCACCGGCUAACUUCGUG
rnacentral:rRNA from 1 species